CGAGUGUGCUCUUGAGUGAAUGGGUGUGCAUAAUUCGUAAUUUUUUCCGAGGCGUGGGCCCAGAGAGGAUUUUUGGGCAUUUUUCUAUUUUCUUAUCUUAGCUUCGAUUUCUUUAGCUAAAUCCGUUGUUUGUAGUUAUNAAUUCAGAGAAACCCUGGAAUUAACAAAAAUGGGCAAUCCUGAGCCAAAUCCUGUUUUCCGAAAACAAACAAAGGUUCAGAAAAAAAGGAUAGGUGCAGAGACUCAAUGGAAGCUAUUCUAACAAAUGGAGUUAAAUGCGUUGGUAGAGGAAUCAUUACAUCAAAAUUUCAGAAAGAAAAAG
rnacentral:ncRNA from 1 species